rnacentral:lncRNA from 1 species
GGUCUACGCUAAAGUACGAUGGGAUCUCACGCUAAAGUGCGAUGGUCAUGUGUUUGCUAAAGUACGAUGGUAUAGCACGCUAAAGUUUUAUUGAUUACAGUUAAUUUCUACAAAUUAUUAUCUUAUUUUAUCAGGCUAUUGGAGAAUUAAAAGAAAAUCGCCAAAUACAGCUUAAAACAUCUAACGAUUGUGUCCCGGACAGACUGGAAGUUGAUACAUCAUAUCUUUUGGCAGGUAUACUUUCAUUGUCGAGCCUUCGACUUUAGUCGAAAAAGCGAGACAUAGCGAUCCUACAUUCCGUCGGCGUCGGCGUCGUCGUCGUCGGCGGCGUCCAAAAUAUUCACUCUGUGGUUAAAGUUUUUGAAAUUUUAAUAACUUUCUUAAACUAUCCUUGAAUUGUACGAAACUUGGACAGAAGCUUGUUUAUGAUCAGCAGAUAGUAUCCAGAAGUAAAUUUUGUAAAAAUCAAAUUCCAUUUUUCCCGUAUUUUACUUAUAAAUGGACUUAGUUUUUCUUCCAGUUAACAUUACAUACAGUCUGCAGUUAAAGUAUUUAAAACAUUUUUAAGAUUCUUAAACUAGCCUGGAUUUUUACCAAACUUGGACAGAAGCUUCUGACAAUCAAAAGAUAGUAUCGAGAGGAAUAAUUUUAUUGAUUUUUUUCAUUAUUUUUGAUGAGUGUGUGAUUAACAGCAAAAGUGGGCGAGACACUGGGUUCCGCGGAACCCUUACACAUUUUUUUUUAUUAUUAUGUGAAUUGAUUAGAGGAAUUUGUUUGUAGUCUACACGGAUUGCGUAAAACUGAAUGAAGGCAAAUUAUUUUAAAAUUCACAUAAAGCUAUAUUGAAGCUUGGAAAAUUAGUAUUAUCUUCCCAUAGACGAAAAGCAACUACAAGAAUUGUGCACUUUGAUUAAAUAAAAUUCAAAACAAAUAUUUCUUAUAUCUAUUGAUUUACAUGUUACACAGAAAUGAUUCCGUAUGUAAUAACUUACAGGAUUAUCUAAACAUAGAUGCAUAUGAUACUUGAAAUAUGACUCGUACAUUUAUCAACGAUGCGUGCUUUAAAAUAAAAAUAAAAAACGAAUUAUUACAUUAAAUAUAAACGAAUGAUUAAAUAUUUCUUAGCGCCUUUUUUUUAACACUUUAAAUCGAUAUGUUUCGAAGUACGAAAACGGAUGGUGAUAUAACCCUCAUGGUUAAGUGCCAUAUCCAUCGUAUAAUUGUACCAUAUAUCCGGGACCAUAUAUAAGAAUUGCCAUCUGUCGGAUUUUUCUUCACUGUAUAUUGCAUAAUAUCAAAAGUUCAAUAUAGGAUAAAGAACUUAAUUCAUAUAGUUUUUUCACUGACCCCCUUACCCCCUCUUAACUUAAUUUGGGAAAAAUGAUUGACCAAUAAGGAUUUAUAUAAAAUCGAUGUCAAACAAAACUUGCACCCCCAAACUAUUUGAAUUAAGUUUUUUGUCCUUCGUUGAUUUUUUGAUGUCGUUCCCAAGUCAAUUCGUUCCCAAGUCAAUUCUGAUAUCGAUGAUGACGUGACGUCUGACAAAUCUCUUAGUAAUGAAACUGCAAAACGGUUAGCGAUUGUUGCAAUCAGCUUUACUUGUUAUUAAAGAAGACAUAAAUUUAUGAAAAGCACCAAUGUGAUUCUCCUUAGAAAAAGGACUGCGGAAAAAAAAACCCAGAAUCAUCUAUAUACUUACUCGUUGGUUUCGAAGAACAAAAGUUUAAGUGACCACGAAGGUGAUAAAAAAAGAGUGCAAGAAUUCCCCCAAUUACAAUGCAAAACAUACAUUUCGAAGUGAAGACUUAUUUCUCUAGUUCUUCAAGGUGUAGAUGGUAUAACAUUUUCUUAAAUCACAACAAAUUGGAAAGUUUUACUUAUUUGUCUAGGAAAUACCAUCUCAGAACAAGUUUUGCUGUUGUGAUGGAAGAACUUUUUCUAUAUCUAUAACACAUCCAUAUUCUUGACAAACGUUUUCCGGUGAUUUGGCUUAACUAUUGAUAUUAUUUCAAACUUUUUCAUUUGAAACCAAACACAAAAAUAUGUCAGUCAAUUUCUCCAUUAGCACAUUCACAUGGUUUAGCGAGUUACUAAUUCAGUUUGUGUAUCUAUUGCAUCUACGAUUCAUUGUUGUUUUCUGCUUAUGUAUCGAUUGUAUCGGUUGCAUCGACGAUUAAUUGUUGUUUUCUGUUUAUAUAUCGAUAGUAUCGACGAUUCAUUGUUGUUUUCUUUUUUAUUUAUCGAUUACAUCGACGAUUCAUUGUUGUUUUCUGUUUAUGUAUCGAUAGCAUCGACGAUUCAUUGUUGUUUUCUGUUUACAUGUAUUUAUCGAUUGCAUCGACGAUUUUAUGGUUGUUCUUUGUUGAGUUAUCGAAUGCAUUUCGAUUCAUGCUUGUUUUCUGUUUACAAUUUCAGCAAACACUGAUUUGAUAAUCGGAAGAUGUAACAUAGCCAAACUGUCUGAAAAUACAAGUUCAGAGGACGUGAAGUGGCUGCAAGGAGAUAAUACUUGCUCUUAAUUUCUCUCUAUAACUUUAAGAAUGCACUGAGACACUCGAAAUAUACAAUUAAAAGACUUAAUAACAAAUUGCAUCUUAUAAUUAAAAGUCUUUAAACUAUUAAAUGAACUAAAAAAAUCAAAAAAUUGUCAAAACUUGGGACUUUAUACGGAUAUCUAACUACAAUUUUUGAUAACAUGAUACAAAAAAAAAACAAUGACUAAUAUCCUGAGAUAAGUCGUUAAACUAUGACAUCUGUGUGCUAGUUUUUCC